CUCUCUCUCUCUCCUACUGGCCAUAUGAAGAUGUGCCUGGCUUCCCCUUUGCCUUCCACCAUGAUUGUAAGUUUUCUGAGGGCUCCCCAGAAGCAGAAGCCUGUACAGCCUCCAGACUAGUGAGCAAACUUAAACCUUCUUUCUUUAUAAAUUACCCAGUCUCAGGUAUGUCUUUAUAGCUGUAUGAGAACAGACUAAUAUACAGCAAGAUAGUAAAUACUUUAGGCUUUUUGGUCCACAUGGUUUCUGUUGCAACUACUCAAUUCUGCUAUUGUAGCAGAAAGGCAGUCUUAGACAAUAUUAAACAAAUGAGUGUGAUGACAGUGUUUCAAUAAGUUUUAAUUCUGUACAUUGAUAUUUCAAUUGCAUAUACUUCUUACAUAUUAAUAAGUAUUGUUCUUCUUUUAAUUUAAGAAACCAUUGAAAACUGUAAAAACAUUCUUUGCUCACAAGAAAUCCAAAAACGGGAGGUGGGCUGGAUUUUGGCCGGUUAGCUGUGCUUUGCUGAUCCCCUGCUCAAAAUCAGUCACAUAGCUAUUUGGGUAGCCCUUAGCGCAGUAAGUGGCAAUCUCAGUGACUUUUAAUGAUUAUAAUAUUUUCAAAAUUCAGUUAAUUAGAUUUAAAUUUAACAAAAAAUAGCAUGGAAAAAAUAAGAAGCACUGGGAGAUUCAAGGAGGAGGUCAGGGAAUAAGGAAGCAGGAUCCAAGGACUAGAUGGCAUCUCAUAGCAAACAAACACCAACAGGGCAUUGCACUCUAAAAAGGAAUAGACUUAUUCACUAGACUUUGUGUAAAAUCUAUCAUUGUAAUCAAGUUGCUAGGGUAGGAAUUGAUUGAUUUCCAUUUCAGCAUAUUUGUCUUCAAAUGUGCAGAAAGUUCUCCUGGCUCCCUUCAGGAUUAACAUGGGGUUUGGAAUAAAGUGAUAGACACAUAGGAGCAGGCCACAAAGACUAGCUAUGCUCCUUGUGCUCCAGAAUUCGAGUUCUUGGUCACGCUUUUCUCCCAGGAUGUUUCAUCCUGCUGGCCCAUUCAUCAGACUGAACAGGUUUCAUUAUAGUGCAUUUACAAGCAGCUGUUUUGUACUUAAGUUCUAUAGGUUAUAAUUAAUUGUGAAGACAGUUUAUUGAACAAAGGAAGGGAUUCUUCUAAUAAAUUGGCAGAUGGAAGGGGACAUGCUAUAAAUCAGAGACCCUUAACUUUGUAUUUGUGAAGACAGGCAGUACUCUUUUAUGCUACAUGUGACUCCUAAUUAAGUGAUCUUUCCAGAACACCAAGAGUCAAGUGCAGUCAGACAGAUUGUGUGUGUGUGUGCUAUAGCCCUACCCUAUC
rnacentral:lncRNA from 1 species